GCCAACAUGGCAGGUGUUCCCGGGCUCUCCCUGCCCGGUGGCCUGGCCGAUGAGGACGGGUUGCCGGUUGGCAUCCAGCUGCUGGCCCC
rnacentral:tRNA from 1 species